UACAGAGGUCCCAAGCGUUGUCCGGAUUCAUUGGGCGUAAAGGGUGCGUAGGCGGCGCGGUAAGUCGGGUGUGAAAUCUCGGAGCUUAACUCCGAAACUGCAUUCGAUACUGCCGUGCUUGAGGACUGGAGAGGAGACUGGAAUUUACGGUGUAGCGGUGAAAUGCGUAGAUAUCGUAAGGAAGACCAGUGGCGAAGGCGGGUCUCUGGACAGUUCCUGACGCUGAGGCACGAAGGCCAGGGGAGCAAACGGG
rnacentral:rRNA from 1 species